AAUAUUGCGCAAUGGAGGAAACUCUGACGCAGCGACGCCGCGUGAGCGAUGAAGGUCNNNGGAUCNUAAAGCUCUGUCCUUGGNGAANAAGGUCUUCGGACUUGACGGUACCCAUGGGGGAAGCCCCGGCUAACUACGUGCCAGCAGCCGCGUUAAUACGUAGGGGGCAAGCGUUGUCCGGAAUUAUUGGGCGUAAAGGGUGCGUAGGCGGCCUUUUAAGUCAGAUGGGAAAGCCCAAGGCUCAACCGUGGGAUUGCAUUUGAAACUGGAGGGCUUGAGUAUCGGAGAGGGUAGUGGAAUUCCCAGUGGAGCGGUGAAAUGCGUAGAUAUUUGGAGGAAAACCAGUGGCGAAGGCGACUACCUGGACGAUUAAUGACGCUGAUGCACGAAAGCUAGGGGAGCAAACA
rnacentral:rRNA from 1 species